UACGAGAGCCCCGAGCGUUAUCCGGAUUUAUUGGGCGUAAAGAGCGUGUAGGCGGUUCGGUAGGUCCGUUGUGAAAACUCGAGGCUCAACCUCGAGACGCCGAUGGAAACCCUCGAACUAGAGUCCGGAAGAGGAGAGUGGAAUUCCUGGUGUAGCGGUGAAAUGCGCAGAUAUCAGGAAGAACACCCGUGGCUAAGGCGGCUCUCUAGUACGGUACUGACGCUGAGACGCGAAAGCGUGGGGAGCGAACAGG
rnacentral:rRNA from 1 species